AAAAGCAAAGAUAUCCAACUGACCAGACCUCAUAUCAUAUGAUUACAACCCAAAUAACAGCAAACCCAAAUCGAGAUUACUAUUAUUGAUAUUUCCCAUUCUCUUGGUCACUAACAGAGGGUGCUUCAGGGCCAUCAACAACAAAAGCAUAGCAUACAUACUGCUAGUCCUAGUUGAAUGCAGUUUUAACAAUGCUUGAAACCAACUAUUUGAUGCACAAAUGAUUAUCAGAAUCGUCCAUCCUGGAUUUAUCUAACACUUUGUGGCAGCAUUAGAGCAUCGAUUGGAGCCUCUCACACUCGGUCCUUACAUGGCUCCUGCUAAUAUCUUUCAGGCUAGGACAGCCAGAAAGGGCCAUCGUGAGCUCAAGCUCAUUCUUUAGCAUUUCAAUCACCUGUCUCACUCCAUGUUCUCCUUUCACGGCCAGCCCAUAGAUAACAGGCCUUCCAACAAAGACCCCCUGGGCACCAAGUGCCAAUGCCUUGAAAACAUCUGUUCCCCGACGUACUCCUCCAUCAAGAAGAACUGGAACUUUCCCUCUAACAGCAUCAACAACCUCUUCCAGAGCAGAAAUAGUGGCAGGAGUAUAAUCCAGCUGGCGAGCUCCAUGAUUGGAGACAAUAAUUCCCUCAACACCUACUUCCAUGGCCUUGAUGGCAUCAUCACGAGUUAAUAUCCCCUUGACCACAAUUGGCAAGUUUGUAAUAGAUUUUAACCAUCCUAUAUCCUUCCAACAUAAAGAAGCAUCAAAGGAUUCAUUGGCAUAAGCUUCUAAGCUUGAACCCUUGUCAUAUUUAACUUCAGUU
rnacentral:misc_RNA from 1 species